rnacentral:rRNA from 1 species
CCUACGGGUGGCAGCAGUGAGGAAUAUUGGUCAAUGGGCGUAAGCCUGAACCAGCCAAGUCGCGUGAGGGAUGAAGGUUCUAUGGAUCGUAAACCUCUUUUAUAAGGGAAUAAAGUGUGGGACGUGUCCUAUUUUGUAUGUACCUUAUGAAUAAGGAUCGGCUAACUCCGUGCCAGCAGCCGCGGUAAUACGGAGGAUCCGAGCGUUAUCCGGAUUUAUUGGGUUUAAGGGGUGCGUAGGCGGCCUUUUAAGUCAGCGGUGAAAGUCUGUGGCUCAACCAUAGAAUUGCCGUUGAAACUGGGGGGCUAGAGGAUGUUUGAGGCGGGCAGAAUGCGAGGUGUAGCGGUGAAAUGCUUAGAUAUCACGCAGAACCCCGAUUGCGAAGGCAGCCUGCCAGGCCAUGACUGACGCUGAGGCGCGAAAGCGUGGGGAUCAAACAGGAUUAGAUACCCGUGUAGUC